UGUGUUUCGGAGAUGCAAAUUUCUUUUAAGUUUUUAAGUUCACAGAUUUUCAGACAGCAAGAAUGAUAUAAUAAUGCCGGUGGGUUUUUUUUUUCAGAACAGACAAUCCUGGCUUCCAACAAUCAACUCUUCCUAUAGUGCCAAAUCAUCCACCACCUCUACCUGUGCAGGCUCCUUCUUGACACGUCAUAGAAAGCUCUCAUUACAACAUCAUGUGGGGGUGGUUUGAGUAAUGGGCACUAGGGUAGAUCCACAAAACAACAAACCUGAAGUGACCAAAUUUGUGUUAAAGCCAUUUGUGCAGAUUAAGGUUAAUAUGCAAUAAAAUGUCCUAAGCAACGGACUUGUUUUAUAUUCAGGGCACUCACUACAAACCGGUCAAAAGGAGACCGGAUGUGGAUGUGAUUAACACAUAGCAGAGCCUCUCAGCACCAGAGCGUGGUCCCAGCCGGUAGAGCGCUGUGCUCCGAUAAGAAUCAUAAUCAGCAGCAGUUCCUGCGUAAUGAUGCCAACACUGAGCUAUAACCUAAACAAAUUUUCGCAACAUCUGCACUUUGAAGCAACAUUAGGGGGAAAUCCUGAUGUAGAACAAAGAAGAAAAAAAAAAAGAAGAAGAAAAGAACUGGCUAGAAAUCGAGACUAACAAUGAUGAUGAUCAUGUCUUAGAUUCGUGAGACAUUUGUAUCAGUGACUUGUGCGUCCUCAUCAGCUCAUCAUGGCCCUGUUCGGUACUCCGUGUACUCAGGGCAAGAAUCAGCCCCCUGUUGACCAUGCAUGCAGAGGCAGACACACGCUUGCUAAAAAAGAACAAUAACCAAUCACGAAGCAAUGUCCUAUCAUCUGUGAUUCGUCUUCCUACCAAAAACGGACCUCCUCUCACCAUUCUGCCUGGUAACC